AGCGCCCACAAAGUGGCUCUGAGCUGCAGUGGCAAGGAGGGUGAGGUCCAAAUGAAGCAAAUCAGACAGAACAGAGAUGAAAGAUGACACAGGGUGCUGAAUGUACACUGAUUAUUAGACAGUGGUAAGACCGGAGCCUGAAAAAUCAGUUUGAGAGCUCCUAGGGUCUUCCUCAAAUAAGGAUAAGAUCCUAUUAGUCCUACAAGUCAUACUCAAAUUUCCGGGUACUCGCAGUAAGGACCCACUACUUCUUAUCUCAGCUGUCACACAAGUAACAAACAUCUUUCCAACUACUGAAUCUCAUUACCCUAAAACCAGAGUGGUCCUGAUUCGAGCCAAAACCUGAAAAGCUCUGCGUGCUCUGGAGCAAUACAUGAAAAAUGGUGAAAAUGCUUUGGUCACCUGAGGGCUCGCCCCUGCCCAGGAAGAAGGUCAUGCCCAUGAAAGAUGGUCAGCAAAAGACUCACCUGCAUCCCCUGGUAACUCGGGUAUGUUUUUGUUUACUGAAGCAGUCAUGGACUGGGGGCUGGUUUCUCAGGCCGCUGGUGUUGCUGAUUACUUGAAUGACAUUUUAAAACCCAUCCUGAAAAAUGUCUCCCAGAAGCUCAUCAUGGUUUUGGUGAGGUUAUAAUAUCAGGUACCUCAGACAUGAACUGAAAAAGAUCACACUUUGCCUGCUUCUGACAUGUCCUGCGCAACUGACGUGCUUCCCCAGGGUGCAAACAAAGCCAUCUACGCAGUCAUGAGGUUUUUGGCUGGUUCCUGUUAUAAACCUGUGUUAACAUUUACCUUUCUCUUGUUCAGUGUGUGUCCUUGCAUAUUACAAAUUAGAUAAUUAAUUCUGAAAGAACAAACUUAUUUUUAAUAUUUACUUUCUUUCUCCCUCUUAUUUCCAGCUUCAAGCACAUACUCCUGGAGUUAUGAUUUAUUACCCUGACCUAUUUCCAGAUCCAAGGUCAAAUACUUCCUCUCCUAAUGACAUCUUGUUAAAGUUUUCAAACGUAACAUCUCACCCUUCAAAGCUCGUUCCACCCAUCCAUGAGCAUUAGCUUAUCUGAGUCAUUUUCUUUUAGGCAGAAACUAUCUAUCUCUGUUUGAUAUAAUGCAGAUUUUUGUCAUAGAAGUAGCAUAUUCUCAGUCACGGUGUAAAACAAAGAUCAGGGAACACAGCUUCUACACUCUGCCUUUUCUCCAAGGCAAUGCUCACUGACUGUAUCACUCCGUAUUUAGCAGAGCUCAGGCAGUACUUGUGUCCCUUCUCACUGGUCUUACCUAAGAUACUCUCUUUCCCUUAACAUAAUUCUGAUUUAUUCUCCCUUCACUGUAGUCACAGUCAAUGGCACCAAAAUACAGAGCUUGUCAGCAUUCAGUAUCACCCUGGGUUCUCCACAAGCACAGUAAAUAUUAGUCUUACGGGCUGUCUAUACACUCUCACACAAGCCUUAUAUUCAAAACACAGAUUUCUUGAUAUAUAAUUAGUCAAGAUUAUAAUCCUUGACGCUGCUGUGCAUUCCCACCCGUAUGUGCACCCUUUUAUAAUGGCUUGCAAACUUGUUUUCUCACACAAAGGAGGCAGCCCUUCCCUCCUGUCAAGUCUACCCUUCUCUGCAUUUUCUAAUAGGACAGAAAGCAAAAUUUCCCCCAUUACUUUAACUCUCACUGGUGGUUGAACUGAUAGCCCAGCAGCUAGAUAGUCUUCCACACUAAUAACAUCAACCCCUUUGGAUGCACUGACUAAGAAACAUGCAGUUUUCAUUAGACUGCCCUUAAUGCAGAAAAGAUGUAUGUUCGGCAAGGUUGAAUGGAAACCUGACAUCUCUGGUGUGUCCAUUGCUACAAAUUAGUGCAUCUGCGUCCUGCAAAAGCAAGCGGGAACUGAAAAGAUAAAUACACGCUUCAUAAAACAAAAUAAAACCAGCUCUAGAAAUAGGCAAGACCCUGAAGGAGGACUGAAAUAGACCCUGGAAAAUAGUGAAGUAAUGGGCUUACAGUUUUAUUAUUCAUAUAAAGUUUAGUGACUUCAAAAUGAAGGCAAAGCCAAACAAGACUUGUUAUCCCACUAAAAUCUGUGCUGUAACUGAAGCCAGUACACAGAUGUUCUGUGGUAAAAUCUGCUGCUUUGCUGCAUAAAAGCGUCACAGACCCUGACGUGCAGUCCUGGCUUGCCUUUAUCCAAACCUACUUAAAUUCUGGAUUAUUUUUCUAGCAAUCUUUUAAACUGCCAUGGGAAGCAUAAAAGGUGGUCUCCCAAAAAAACAGUUGGUACCAGCUUGAAAUGUAACUGUUUGCAGAAAUAAAUCAGGAUUUCUUUUUAAUAAA